rnacentral:lncRNA from 1 species
UCAUCAUUAAGAAGAUUUUUGUCUAUAUUAUGGAAAAUCCAAGCACACUAAUUAAUAUUUUCUAAACAAGCAAUGCAAUCAAAAAAUGAAGAGUAUGGUUACCAAAGAAAAUAAUGUGUCAAAAAAUAAGUCUUUUUAGCUAUAACAGGAAUUGUGUAGUUGAGAUCUUAUCCAACUCCUAAUAAAGAUCCUAUUUUCUUCUUAGAUUCAUUUUUUUUAAAAAAAUAGAAGUUUUUUUAGGACCUAAAAAUUACAAAGUCUUAACCUUAUUAGAUUUAGUAGCCUCAGUUUUUUUUAUAGACAAAGACUUUGUCAAAAAAAAGAUAUAUUUUUAAUUAGAAAAAUCAAACCUAUGCAUGUAAAAGUAAUAGUUAGUCGUUUAUUAUCUUAUAAAUAUAUUAUUUAUAAAACUCCUCUUAUA